rnacentral:lncRNA from 1 species
AUGCUAUCUCAUUCAAUCUUCAAAACAGCUCUGAGAGCUACUCACAAGCUUAAAAGAAGAGAAUGUAAAUAUACACAGUCAGAGGAAGAAUGGUCAAGGAAAAGUAAAGAAAUUGUGAAACAAGGGCCAUUCACUUUGAAAUCAGAAUCUGAAACACUAAUACAUUAUUGGAGGAACUGUGAACUGAUCCAACCAUUUUGGAGAGCAAUCUGGAAUCAUUCCAAGAGAGUUAUAAAACUGUGUAUAUCUUUAGAUCCAAUAAUAUCACUUUUGAGUCUGUUUCCUAAGGUGAUCAGGGAAAAAGGAAAAGAACCUAAAUGCUCUAAAAUAUUUAUAGGAACUCUCCUUGUGGUAGCAAAGAACUGGAAAUUGAGGGGAUGUCCAUCAGUUGAGGAAUGACAGAACAAGUUGUGGCAUGAUUGUGGUGGAAUUCUUCUGUGCUGUAAGAAAUGAAGAGCUGGUUAAUUUAAAAAACCAUGGAAAGACCUAUAUGAAAUUAAUAAUUUGAAGAAAAUCUUGAGGAUGUCAACUUCCAACUUAUACAAAGUAUGUACAAUAUGUAUAUAUAUAUGUAAAUAUAUAUUUCUUGUAAAAUAAUGCCUUCUCUAGUGUGGAGAGGAGAGGGAGUGAGGCAGAUAUCUAGGAAUGUUAAGGUCACCAACAAACUAAUUAAUUUUUUAAAAAAGAAAUAAAGCAGAAUCUGAGAAAUGGAAUCUUUCUACA